AAGCCUAGAACAACAGAGAGACAGCUUAUAAAGAAACAGUCUGACAGGCAACCAGACAGACAUGCUCGCUUACUCAGCAGCCGGCGAGUGAACGUCAGGACAGCUUGAUAUGAGGGUGGUGUUUGUUUUUCUCUCUUUCGAUCAAAUUUAUGUAAGAAAGACUAUGAUGGAUGUACCUGCUGUCUGAGAGAGAAACAGAUAGAGAGUGUUUCAGAGGCAGAGCUCAGUAUUAAAGGAUCACCGGUUUGUGGUGGAGUAGGUGCAGACAGUGACACAUGAGGGUGUGAUAAGAAAGGAUUUCAUAUUGAUUCACACCUCGCGCACAAACACAGAAAUAGACACAAGCUCACCGAAUCAAUCCGCGAUGUGUUCACUGUAAACCCAGUGAUUCACUUGUGGUGACCUCACAUCUGCUUGAAGAGGUCAACAGACAAACGACCAACCUCUUUUUUGAUCCAAUGAUGAGUUUUUUGAUAAACCAUUUCAGACCAGAUGUUCUUCAUUCCACUGAAACCCCUCUGGCUUGAGUGACAAAUUAUCUGAUGCCUCACACAACACCUCUGCCCUCCUGCGGCUACAUCAAUACUGUUGAUCGCAGCUUGUUAUAACACAGUCUCCAAAACCACCCAAGGAUCAGGUUAAAGGUGGACAACUCUCCCGCCUCUCCUGUCACUUGACGUGUCUUCUCAUCCCCGGAGUCGUUGUCCUGGUCAGAGCUGCUGUAAAUCACGGCUGUGCUGCGUCCCUGUCGACAAACUGGCCCCUGUUGCUCUCAGAGGCCGUGUUCGGUCCAGCAGUGAUCACUAGGAGGUUGUUGUGCUCAGCCGAGCUGAGGCUGUUGGCCUUUGGCGAUUCCCAGAAGUUGCAGUCUGGGCAGAAUUUGGUCAGCUAAUAGGGCAACUGGCUCCACAGCCGAUCUGAGCUCAUGAGCUAACCACAGCUAGCCACAGCCAUUGGUAGCUAGCACGGGGUCAGCUGAGCAGCUGGUGUGGGUCACUCUGGAGAUAUACCGCCUCCUAAACUUUUGGAUCAACAUUCAUUUACAGCACGCUGCCGCUUUAAGAUGACUCAACCGAUAA